UACGGAGGGGACUAGCGUUGUUCGGAAUUACUGGGCGUAAAGCGCACGUAGGCGGAUUUGUAAGUCAGGGGUGAAAUCCCGAGGCUCAACCUCGGAACUGCCUUUGAUACUGCAAAUCUCGAGUCCGGAAGAGGUGAGUGGAAUUCCUAGUGUAGAGGUGAAAAUUCGUAGAUAUUAGGAAGAACACCAGUGGCGAAGGCGGCUCACUGGUCCGGUACUGACGCUGAGGUGCGAAAGCGUGGGGGAGCAAACAGGG
rnacentral:rRNA from 1 species